GCGAGAAACUUUAGCAAUGUGCGAAGGCACGACAAGGUUAAUCCGAGUGGUUUCUGCUAAAGGAACCUUUUGUCAGUCCUAGAAACACUGGUGAAUAAGGGGUGGGCAAGUUCUGGUGUCAGCCGCCGCGGUAAAACCAGCACCUCAAGUGGUCAGGAUGAUUAUUGGGCCUAAAGCAUCCGUAGCCGGCUCUGUUGGUUUCGGUUAAAUCUGUACGCUCAACGUACAGGC
rnacentral:rRNA from 1 species